AGUGAAGCGGGAUGAGCUCAAAUUUAAAAUCUGGCUGGUUUACUAGUCCGAAUUGUAGUUUAAAGAAGCGUUUUCGGUGGCAGUCUCGGUAUAAAUCCUUUGGAAUAGGGUAUCAUAGAGGGUGAGAAUCCCGUCUUUGACUGAGAAUUUGCUACUAUGUGAUACGUUUUCAAAGAGUCGAGUUGUUUGGGAAUGCAGCUCAAAAUGGGUGGUAAAUUUCAUCUAAAGCUAAAUAUUGGCGAGAGACCGAUAGCGAACAAGUACCGUGAGGGAAAGAUGAAAAGAACUUUGAAAAGAGAGUUAAACAGUGCGUGAAAUUGUUGAAAGGGAAACGCUUGAAACCAGUCAUGUGGUUGGAAAAUCAGUGUUCAACUGGGGGGAAUGGGGGAGGUGUGGACCGCAAGGCUGCUCUUUUCUAUAUCUCUUUUGUUGGGCAUGCACUUUUUCUUCUGCAGGUCAACAUCAGUUUCUUUUGCUGGACAAAACUCUUGAGAAGGUAGCAGCUUAGGCUGUGUUAUAGCUCUGGAGCGAUACAGUGGAGGAGACUGAGGUUUUCGCAGCAUGUGCUCUCGGGCAAGGCCAAUUGGGUGCUAUGGGAUCGUUCGGGGUACAAUACAUGUAUUUUGCCUCGUGUCUUUUCUAUACUCGUUCAGUUGAGCUCUUCCAUGC
rnacentral:rRNA from 2 species